UUGAACCUUGUCUGGCAGCCCAAUGAAAAUCAGGGAAUGGUGCGUCGCAUAAAAUAAAUACCUUUCUGUGUUGUCGUCUCAGCACGAUAAAGGGUCACCGGUAGAAAUGCGUAUGAUUACCUCCUGUCAAGCUGCUUUUUGAAGCUGGUAUUCUCGGAAGAUCAAGUAGGAAGGCUUCAAGCAACAACUGGAACCUUAUUGAUUGUAGUUUCUCUCUGGAAGUUAUGCAUUCUCUCGUCUCACACUUUGGACGUAAGCCUACUUGAUCGAUAAGUUGUUCAGGAAUGUGUCGAGCUUCUCCCAAACGGAAAGUAGUACACCCCUUUCGAUACUGAAGUUGAAUAAUAUCGUCUACUUUUAUUUGGUGUUGAAUUCCUUACUCUAAUGCUUCGAUCUCUGGACUUCCACCUCCAUGGGAUUUCUGAGGAUAAACACAGCACAUAUGCAGAAUGCAGACAAAAGCUUGGCAAUUUUUUAUCGGAAAGUGUCAUGCUGAAAUCGUCUUGAUUCGUCUGAUCGGUUCUAAUCCUGACGACCGACAACUUCUGACAUUGUCGACGGGGGAAAUCGAGAGGGUCGGGAACUCCGCCUACUAGUGGGGAUGAGGGUAUCAGAUCACAAACCUUUGUCUCCCCCUCAAUUAUUGGACCGAUAUUAAUGGAAUCUUUCGACUAAGCUUUGAAGUACAGAGAUAUUUUACAGUGCCGUGCGACUACCAGUUUCAAGCGAGGAGCUACGGUACACCAUCGCAUUAUAACCUCAGAGACUGUAUUAACUUCUUUUUGCUGCCAUGUACCGGUUACUUGUAAGUGAUGUGCUCCAAAGUAAAUGGUUUCCUUGUUUACUUUUAUCCCGGACAAGUUAUGCAACGCAUCAAUUCAAAGAUAGUUCUAGUUCCCCUCCCAACCAUUGCUGUGGUCAGUAAACUCUGUGUUAACAGUUCCUAACCGUUUGCAUUGGACCAUCAGACGAUAUCAUUAAUUAUAACUGAGGAUUUUUAAAAACAUUUUGAUAAAUUUGGAGACAAUUGUUUUAGUCAACGUUUCUUCACGUGGAGCUUAAAACCCAAGCUAUAGAUACGUCAUCGGAGUUUAUGCAACAUCGCCUUGGGUCUUCAAGAGUGUACUAACCGCAGUCAUUUGAUUAAUCAAAAAUAAUGCAGAAAGACUUGAGGCGGUGUGUUUAAUUGCUGUAAUUACAAUUCUUACAAAAGCCUCCGGCCUCUAGAUGAAAUUACCUCAUACCCGGGGAAUUCGCUUGUACAUACAGCCAAAUUAAAUUGCCAAAGGCGGCAGUACUCAUAGUUGUGCGAUGCUUUUCUUGUACAUGACAGAGUUUGGUCAGUCACUGAACUCCAUCAGAGUGAAGUCCAUGUGCACUGGAAGCGUGUUUGAUAAAACAGUUAGUCACUCACAAAUUGUUUA